GAUAAGGUUAAGUGAAUAAGGGCGCACGGUGGAUGCCUUGGCACUAGGAGCCGAUGAAGGACGGGACUAACACCGAUAUGCUUUGGGGAGCUGUACGUAAGCUAUGAUCCAGAGAUUUCCGAAUGGGGGAACCCAGCAUCUUUAAUAGGAUGUUACGAUUGUGUGAAUACAUAGCACAUUCGAGGUAGACGCAGAGAACUGAAACAUCUAAGUACCUGCAGGAAGAGAAAGAAAAUUCGAUUCCCUGAGUAGCGGCGAGCGAAACGGGAAAAGCCCAAACCAACAAGCUUGCUUGUUGGGGUUGUAGGACUCCAAUAUGGUCGUUCUUUCAGAUAGUCGAAUGACUUGGAAAAGUCAGUCAAAGAGGG
rnacentral:rRNA from 1 species